UUGUGAGGAGCGUGCUCUCUAUGUGUUGGGAGGUUUCUCCUGUGUGUUUGUGAGGUUUCUCCUGUGUGUUUGUGAGGUUUCUCCUGUGUGUUUGUGAGGUUUCUCCUGUGUGUUUGUGAGGAGCAUGCUCUCUAUGUGUUUGUGAGGUUUCUCCUGUGUGUUUGUGAGGUUUCUCCUGUGUGUUUGUGAGGUUUCUCCUGUGUGUUUGGGAGGUUUCUCCUGUGUGUUUGUGAGGAGCGUGCUCUCUAUGUGUUGGGAGGUUUCUCCUGUGUGUUUGUGAGGUUUCUCCUGUGUGUUUGUGAGGUUUCUCCUGUGUGUUUGUGAGGAGCGUGCUCUCUAUGUGUUGGGAGGUUUCUCCUGUGUGUUUGGGAGGUUUCUCCUGUGUGUUUGUGAGGAGCAUGCUCUCUAUGUGUUGGGAGGUUUCUCCUGUGUGUUUGUGAGGAGCAUGCUCUCUAUGUGUUGGGAGGUUUCUCCUGUGUGUUUGUGAGGUUUCUCCUGUGUGUUUGUGAGGAGCGUGCUCUCUAUGUGUUGGGAGGUUUCUCCUGUGUGUUUGUGAGGUUUCUCCUGUGUGUUUGGGAGGUUUCUCCUGUGUGUUUGUGAGGUUUCUCCUGUGUGUUUGUGAGGAGCAUGCUCUCUAUGUGUUGGGAGGUUUCUCCUGUGUGUUUGUGAGGAGCGUGCUCUCUAUGUGUUGGGAGGUUUCUCCUGUGUGUUUGUGAGGUUUCUCCUGUGUGUUUGGGAGGUUUCUGCUGUGUGUUUGUGAGGUUUCUCCUGUGUGUUUGUGAGGAGCGUGCUCUCUAUGUGUUGGGAGGUUUCUCCUGUGUGUUUGUGAGGUUUCUCCUGUGUGUUUGUGAGGUUUCUCCUGUGUGUUUGUGAGGAGCGUGCUCUCUAUGUGUUGGGAGGUUUCUCCUGUGUGUUUGUGAGGAGCAUGCUCUCUAUGUGUUUGUGAGGUUUCUCCUGUGUGUUUGUGAGGUUUCUCCUGUGUGUUUGUGAGGUUUCUCCUGUGUGUUUGGGAGGUUUCUCCUGUGUGUUUGUGAGGAGCGUGCUCUCUAUGUGUUGGGAGGUUUCUCCUGUGUGUUUGUGAGGAGCAUGCUCUCUAUGUGUUUGGGAGGUUUCUCCUGUGUGUUUGUGAGGUUUCUCCUGUGUGUUUGUGAGGUUUCUCCUGUGUGUUUGUGAGGUUUCUCCUGUGUGUUUGUGAGGAGCGUGCUCUCUAUGUGUUGGGAGGUUUCUCCUGUGUGUUUGUGAGGUUUCUCCUGUGUGUUUGGGAGGUUUCUCCUGUGUGUUUGUGAGGUUUCUCCUGUGUGUUUGUGAGGAGCAUGCUCUCUAUGUGUUGGGAGGUUUCUCCUGUGUGUUUGUGAGGAGCGUGCUCUCUAUGUGUUGGGAGGUUUCUCCUGUGUGUUUGUGAGGUUUCUCCUGUGUGUUUGGGAGGUUUCUGCUGUGUGUUUGUGAGGUUUCUCCUGUGUGUUUGUGAGGAGCGUGCUCUCUAUGUGUUGGGAGGUUUCUCCUGUGUGUUUGUGAGGUUUCUCCUGUGUGUUUGUGAGGUUUCUCCUGUGUGUUUGUGAGGUUUCUCCUGUGUGUUUGUGAGGAGCGUGCUCUCUAUGUGUUGGGAGGUUUCUCCUGUGUGUUUGUGAGGAGCAUGCUCUCUAUGUGUUGGGAGGUUUCUCCUGUGUGUUUGUGAGGUUUCUCCUGUGUGUUUGUGAGGUUUCUGCUGUGUGUUUGUGAGGUUUCUCCUGUGUGUUUGUGAGGUUUCUGCUGUGUGUUUGUGAGGUUUCUCCUGUGUGUUUGUGAGGUUUCUGCUGUGUGUUUGUGAGGUUUCUCCUGUGUGUUUGUGAGGUUUCUCCUGUGUGUUUGUGAGGAGCAUGCUCUCUAUGUGUUGGGAGGUUUCUCCUGUGUGUUUGGGAGGUUUCUCCUGUGUGUUUGUGAGGUUUCUCCUGUGUGUUUGGGAGGUUUCUCCUGUGUGUUUGGGAGGUUUCUCCUGUGUGUUUGGGAGGUUUCUCCUGUGUGUUUGGGAGGUUUCUCCUGUGUGUUUGGGAGGUUUCUCCUGUGUGUUUGGGAGGUUUCUCCUGUGUGUUUGUGAGGUUUCUCCUGUGUGUUUGUGAGGAGCGUGCUCUCUAUGUGUUGGGAGGUUUCUCCUGUGUGUUUGUGAGGAGCGUGCUCUCUAUGUGUUGGGAGGUUUCUCCUGUGUGUUUGGGAGGUUUCUCCUGUGUGUUUGUGAGGUUUCUCCUGUGUGUUUGUGAGGAGCGUGCUCUCUAUGUGUUGGGAGGUUUCUCCUGUGUGUUUGUGAGGUUUCUCCUGUGUGUUUGUGAGGUUUCUCCUGUGUGUUUGUGAGGUUUCUCCUGUGUGUUUGUGAGGUUUCUCCUGUGUGUUUGUGAGGAGCGUGCUCUCUAUGUGUUGGGAGGUUUCUCCUGUGUGUUUGUGAGGUUUCUCCUGUGUGUUUGUGAGGUUUCUCCUGUGUGUUUGUGAGGUUUCUCCUGUGUGUUUGUGAGGUUUCUCCUGUGUGUUUGUGAGGUUUCUCCUGUGUGUUUGUGAGGUUUCUCCUGUGUGUUUGGGAGGUUUCUGCUGUGUGUUUGUGAGGUUUCUGCUGUGUGUUUGUGAGGAGCAUGCUCUCUGUGUGUUUGUGAGGUUUCUCCUGUGUGUUUGUGAGGUUUCUCCUGUGUGUUUGGGAGUUUUCUCCUGUGUGUUUGUGAGGUUUCUCCUGUGUGUUUGUGAGGAGCAUGCUCUCUAUGUGUUGGGAGGUUUCUCCUGUGUGUUUGUGAGGUUUCUCCUGUGUGUUUGUGAGGUUUCUCCUGUGUGUUUGUGAGGAGCGUGCUCUCUGUGUGUUUGUGAGGUUUCUCCUGUGUGUUUGUGAGGAGCGUGCUCUCUAUGUGUUGGGAGGUUUCUCCUGUGUGUUUGUGAGGUUUCUCCUGUGUGUUUGUGAGGUUUCUCCUGUGUGUUUGUGAGGUUUCUCCUGUGUGUUUGUGAGGAGCGUGCUCUCUAUGUGUUUGGGAGGUUUCUCCUGUGUGUUUGUGAGGUUUCUCCUGUGUGUUUGUGAGGAGCGUGCUCUCUAUGUGUUUGGGAGGUUUCUCCUGUGUGUUUGUGAGGAGCGUGCUCUCUAUGUGUUUGGGAGGUUUCUCCUGUGUGUUUGGGAGGUUUCUCCUGUGUGUUUGUGAGGUUUCUCCUGUGUGUUUGUGAGGAGCGUGCUCUCUAUGUGUUGGGAGGUUUCUCCUGUGUGUUUGUGAGGAGCAUGCUCUCUAUGUGUUGGGAGGUUUCUCCUGUGUGUUUGUGAGGUUUCUCCUGUGUGUUUGUGAGGUUUCUCCUGUGUGUUUGUGAGGUUUCUCCUGUGUGUUUGUGAGGAGCAUGCUCUCUAUGUGUUGGGAGGUUUCUCCUGUGUGUUUGUGAGGUUUCUCCUGUGUGUUUGUGAGGUUUCUCCUGUGUGUUUGGGAGGUUUCUGCUGUGUGUUUGUGAGGUUUCUCCUGUGUGUUUGUGAGGAGCGUGCUCUCUAUGUGUUGUGAGGUUUCUCCUGUGUGUUUGUGAGGUUUCUCCUGUGUGUUUGUGAGGUUUCUCCUGUGUGUUUGUGAGGAGCGUGCUCUCUAUGUGUUGGGAGGUUUCUCCUGUGUGUUUGUGAGGAGCGUGCUCUCUAUGUGUUGGGAGGUUUCUCCUGUGUGUUUGUGAGGUUUCUCCUGUGUGUUUGUGAGGUUUCUCCUGUGUGUUUGUGAGGAGCGUGCUCUCUAUGUGUUGGGAGGUUUCUCCUGUGUGUUUGUGAGGUUUCUCCUGUGUGUUUGUGAGGUUUCUCCUGUGUGUUUGUGAGGAGCGUGCUCUCUAUGUGUUGGGAGGUUUCUCCUGUGUGUUUGUGAGGUUUCUCCUGUGUGUUUGUGAGGAGCAUGCUCUCUAUGUGUUGGGAGGUUUCUCCUGUGUGUUUGUGAGGAGCGUGCUCUCUAUGUGUUGGGAGGUUUCUCCUGUGUGUUUGUGAGGUUUCUCCUGUGUGUUUGUGAGGUUUCUCCUGUGUGUUUGUGAGGUUUCUCCUGUGUGUUUGUGAGGAGCGUGCUCUCUAUGUGUUGGGAGGUUUCUCUGUGUGUUUGUGAGGUUUCUCCUGUGUGUUUGUGAGGAGCAUGCUCUCUAUGUGUUGGGAGGUUUCUCCUGUGUGUUUGUGAGGUUUCUCCUGUGUGUUUGUGAGGUUUCUCCUGUGUGUUUGUGAGGAGCGUGCUCUCUAUGUGUUGGGAGGUUUCUCCUGUGUGUUUGGGAGGUUUCUCCUGUGUGUUUGUGAGGAGCGUGCUCUCUAUGUGUUGGGAGGUUUCUCCUGUGUGUUUGUGAGGAGCGUGCUCUCUAUGUGUUGGGAGGUUUCUCCUGUGUGUUUGUGAGGUUUCUCCUGUGUGUUUGUGAGGUUUCUCCUGUGUGUUUGUGAGGUUUCUCCUGUGUGUUUGUGAGGAGCGUGCUCUCUGUGUGUUUGUGAGGUUUCUCCUGUGUGUUUGUGAGGUUUCUCCUGUGUGUUUGGGAGGUUUCUCCUGUGUGUUUGGGAGGUUUCUCCUGUGUGUUUGGGAGGUUUCUCCUGUGUGUUUGGGAGGUUUCUCCUGUGUGUUUGUGAGGUUUCUCCUGUGUGUUUGUGAGGAGCGUGCUCUCUAUGUGUUGGGAGGUUUCUCCUGUGUGUUUGGGAGGUUUCUCCUGUGUGUUUGUGAGGUUUCUCCUGUGUGUUUGUGAGGAGCGUGCUCUCUAUGUGUUGGGAGGUUUCUCCUGUGUGUUUGUGAGGUUUCUCCUGUGUGUUUGUGAGGUUUCUCCUGUGUGUUUGUGAGGUUUCUCCUGUGUGUUUGUGAGGUUUCUCCUGUGUGUUUGUGAGGAGCGUGCUCUCUAUGUGUUGGGAGGUUUCUCCUGUGUGUUUGUGAGGUUUCUCCUGUGUGUUUGUGAGGUUUCUCCUGUGUGUUUGGGAGGUUUCUCCUGUGUGUUUGGGAGGUUUCUCCUGUGUGUUUGUGAGGUUUCUCCUGUGUGUUUGUGAGGAGCGUGCUCUCUAUGUGUUGGGAGGUUUCUUCUGUGUGUUUGUGAGGAGCGUGCUCUCUAUGUGUUGGGAGGUUUCUCCUGUGUGUUUGUGAGGUUUCUCCUGUGUGUUUGUGAGGUUUCUCCUGUGUGUUUGUGAGGUUUCUCCUGUGUGUUUGUGAGGAGCGUGCUCUCUAUGUGUUGGGAGGUUUCUCCUGUGUGUUUGUGAGGUUUCUCCUGUGUGUUUGUGAGGUUUCUCCUGUGUGUUUGUGAGGUUUCUCCUGUGUGUUUGUGAGGUUUCUCCUGUGUGUUUGUGAGGUUUCUCCUGUGUGUUUGUGAGGUUUCUCCUGUGUGUUUGUGAGGUUUCUCCUGUGUGUUUGGGAGGUUUCUCCUGUGUGUUUGUGAGGAGCAUGCUCUCUAUGUGUUGGGAGGUUUCUCCUGUGUGUUUGUGAGGUUUCUCCUGUGUGUUUGUGAGGUUUCUCCUGUGUGUUUGUGAGGUUUCUCCUGUGUGUUUGUGAGGAGCAUGCUCUCUAUGUGUUGGGAGGUUUCUCCUGUGUGUUUGGGAGGUUUCUGAUGUGUGUUUGUGAGGUUUCUCCUGUGUGUUUGUGAGGUUUCUCCUGUGUGUUUGUGAGGUUUCUCCUGUGUGUUUGUGAGGUUUCUCCUGUGUGUUUGUGAGGAGCAUGCUCUCUAUGUGUUGGGAGGUUUCUCCUGUGUGUUUGGGAGGUUUCUGCUGUGUGUUUGUGAGGUUUCUCCUGUGUGUUUGUGAGGAGCGUGCUCUCUAUGUGUUUGUGAGGUUUCUCCUGUGUGUUUGUGAGGAGCGUGCUCUCUAUGUGUUGGGAGGUUUCUCCUGUGUGUUUGUGAGGAGCGUGCUCUCUAUGUGUUGGGAGGUUUCUCCUGUGUGUUUGUGAGGUUUCUCCUGUGUGUUUGUGAGGAGCGUGCUCUCUAUGUGUUGUGAGGUUUCUCCUGUGUGUUUGUGAGGUUUCUCCUGUGUGUUUGUGAGGAGCGUGCUCUCUAUGUGUUGGGAGGUUUCUCCUGUGUGUUUGUGAGGUUUCUCCUGUGUGUUUGUGAGGAGCAUGCUCUCUAUGUGUUGGGAGGUUUCUCCUGUGUGUUUGUGAGGUUUCUCCUGUGUGUUUGUGAGGUUUCUCCUGUGUGUUUGUGAGGUUUCUCCUGUGUGUUUGUGAGGUUUCUCCUGUGUGUUUGUGAGGUUUCUCCUGUGUGUUUGGGAGUUUUCUCCUGUGUGUUUGUGAGGUUUCUCCUGUGUGUUUGUGAGGAGCAUGCUCUCUAUGUGUUGGGAGGUUUCUCCUGUGUGUUUGUGAGGUUUCUCCUGUGUGUUUGUGAGGUUUCUCCUGUGUGUUUGUGAGGUUUCUCCUGUGUGUUUGUGAGGUUUCUCCUGUGUGUUUGUGAGGUUUCUCCUGUGUGUUUGUGUGGUUUCUCCUGUGUGUUUGUGAGGUUUCUCCUGUGUGUUUGUGUGGUUUCUCCUGUGUGUUUGUGAGGUUUCUGCUGUGUGUUUGUGUGGUUUCUCCUGUGUGUUUGUGUGGUUUCUCCUGUGUGUUUGUGAGGUUUCUGCUGUGUGUUUGUGUGGUUUCUCCUGUGUGUUUGUGAGGUUUGUCCUGUGUGUUUGUGAGGUUUCUCCUGUGUGUUUGUGAGGUUUCUCCUGUGUGUUUGUGAGGAGCAUGCUCUCUAUGUGUUGGGAGGUUUCUCCUGUGUGUUUGUGAGGUUUCUCCUGUGUGUUUGUGAGGUUUCUCCUGUGUGUUUGUGAGGUUUCUCCUGUGUGUUUGUGAGGUUUCUCCUGUGUGUUUGUGAGGUUUCUCCUGUGUGUUUGUGAGGUUUCUCCUGUGUGUUUGUGAGGUUUCUCCUGUGUGUUUGUGAGGUUUCUCCUGUGUGUUUGUGAGGAGCGUGCUCUCUAUGUGUUGUGAGGUUUCUCCUGUGUGUUUGUGAGGUUUCUCCUGUGUGUUUGUGAGGUUUCUCCUGUGUGUUUGUGAGGAGCGUGCUCUCUAUGUGUUGUGAGGUUUCUCCUGUGUGUUUGUGAGGUUUCUCCUGUGUGUUUGUGAGGAGCGUGCUCUCUAUGUGUUGGGAGGUUUCUCCUGUGUGUUUGUGAGGUUUCUCCUGUGUGUUUGUGAGGUUUCUCCUGUGUGUUUGUGAGGUUUCUCCUGUGUGUUUGUGAGGAGCAUGCUCUCUAUGUGUUGGGAGGUUUCUCCUGUGUGUUUGGGAGGUUUCUCCUGUGUGUUUGUGAGGAGCGUGCUCUCUAUGUGUUUGUGAGGUUUCUCCUGUGUGUUUGUGAGGAGCGUGCUCUCUAUGUGUUGGGAGGUUUCUCCUGUGUGUUUGUGAGGAGCGUGCUCUCUAUGUGUUGGGAGGUUUCUCCUGUGUGUUUGGGAGGUUUCUCCUGUGUGUUUGUGAGGAGCGUGCUCUCUAUGUGUUGUGAGGUUUCUCCUGUGUGUUUGUGAGGUUUCUCCUGUGUGUUUGUGAGGUUUGUCCUGUGUGUUUGUGAGGAGCAUGCUCUCUAUGUGUUGUGAGGUUUCUCCUGUGUGUUUGUGAGGUUUCUCCUGUGUGUUUGGGAGGUUUCUCCUGUGUGUUUGUGAGGAGCGUGCUCUCUAUGUGUUGGGAGGUUUCUCCUGUGUGUUUGUGAGGUUUGUCCUGUGUGUUUGUGAGGUUUGUCCUGUGUGUUUGUGAGGUUUCUCCUGUGUGUUUGUGAGGAGCGUGCUCUCUAUGUGUUGGGAGGUUUCUCCUGUGUGUUUGUGAGGUUUCUCCUGUGUGUUUGUGAGGUUUCUCCUGUGUGUUUGGGAGGUUUCUCCUGUGUGUUUGUGAGGAGCGUGCUCUCUAUGUGUUGGGAGGUUUCUCCUGUGUGUUUGUGAGGUUUGUCCUGUGUGUUUGUGAGGUUUGUCCUGUGUGUUUGUGAGGUUUCUCCUGUGUGUUUGUGAGGAGCGUGCUCUCUAUGUGUUGGGAGGUUUCUCCUGUGUGUUUGUGAGGUUUCUCCUGUGUGUUUGUGAGGAGCAUGCUGUGUGUUUGUGAGGAGCGUGCUCUCUAUGUGUUGGGAGGUUUCUCCUGUGUGUUUGUGAGGUGAUCAUGCUGAUGUUGUGCUGUGUUUCAGGGCUACUUCAAGGUGUUGGGGAAGGGCAAGCUGCCCAAGCAGCCGGUGAUCGUGAAGGCCAAGUUCUUCAGUAGACGAGCAGAGGAGAAGAUCAAGGGUGUGGGAGGAGCCUGUGUGCUGACCGCUUGAGAAAUAAAACAUGUGGAAACCACACUGCAAAAAUCUGAGUGUUCAAUGUACUCUAUAGGAGUACACUGAACACUGGUUUCAGUGUAUAUAUAGGUCCAAGAGUUCGAUGUUCAUUGAACACUGUAAAAAAGUGUAAAAUAAAUACUCUCAAAAUAGUUACAUUUGAACACCUGGAGAGUUAAAAUGUACUCUUAUAAAUAGCACUUUUUGACACCGUUUCAGUGCUUUUGAACACCUGCAGUGUAAACCUAGAACCUUUGCAGAGCUCAUUAUUUAACACUUGGAGAGUACAAAUGUACUCUAAAGCUGGUACUUUUUUAUUUACAAUGUUUCAAUAGUUUCCAACACCUGCAGUGUAAACCUAGAACCAUCAGUGAAUUAAAAAUACUCCCAAGUCA